rnacentral:rRNA from 1 species
GCUUAAUUUGACUCAACGCGGGAAAUCUUACCGGGUCCGGACACACUGAGGAUUGACAGGUAACGUUAUACACACAUAUAUUUACUCUCGGGUAUUURUACUGCUGUGUAUAUAUAAAAUAUGCUAGUCCUUUCAUGAUUAUGUGAUAGGUGGUGCAUGGCCGUUCUUAGUUCGUGGAGUGAUCUGUCUGCUUAAUUGCGUUUCACUAAGGAUCUAUAUUCAUAUUACGCAUAGCAUUUUGACCCCUUUAUGCUUCGGUAUAAAGCUGCGCGUCAAACCUUGCUAUCUGCGUAUAUUAGAUCCUGAAAGCAACGAACGUGACCGCAACCUCUUGUUGCCUUUAACUAGGUUUUGCUUACGUAUAGCUUCGGCUUUACGCUUUGCAUCUAAAAAGGCUGAUUUUCUAAACUAGAGGGACCGCUGUUACUUUCUUAAACCAGAGGAAGGUUGC